GACGUAGGUGGCGAGCGUUAUCCGGAUUUACUGGGCGUAAAGCGCGUGCAGGCGGUUUGGUAAGUCGGGCGUGAAAUCUCCUGGCUCAACUGGGAGGGGUCGUCCGAAACUACCAGACUUGAGGGCAGUAGAGGGAGGUGGAAUUCCGGGUGUAGUGGUGAAAUGCGUAGAUAUCCGGAGGAACACCGGUGGCGAAAGCGGCCUCCUGGGCUGCCCCUGACGCUCAGACGCGAAAGCUAGGGGAGCGAACGGG
rnacentral:rRNA from 1 species